AUGAAUGGGCGCGCCCGUCGCGCUGUCCGCAGCCCGCGGGCCCGCGCUGCGCCGCGCGGAGCCGGCGCCUCAGGAUAUGCAAAAGGACUGUGUGUAUGUGCCCUCAGGAUGGUGGGGCUCCUGUCUUGGAGAAGAGAAACAAGCCUGUGCUACAUGUAUUGGUGCAUACACCAAGAAAUACUUGUUCGUAGCACUCCUGGAGAACAGCACCCAUGCUCUGUGACAGUGUGCUUAUGUGAGCUACAUACUCUGCUUUCCAGUGAAGUUCAUGGUCAGCCAUAUUAAACAUCCUAGAAGAUGGGAUUAUGAAAAAGUGAAUAAACUCUACUUUGGGUGUCA
rnacentral:lncRNA from 1 species